rnacentral:rRNA from 1 species
CUGGGCGUAAAGGAUGCGUAGGCGGAUAUUUAAGUGAGAUGUGAAAUACCCGAGCUUAACUUGGGUGCUGCAUUUCAAACUGGAUAUCUAGAGUGCGGGAGAGGAGAAUGGAAUUCCUAGUGUAGCGGUGAAAUGCGUAGAGAUUAGGAAGAACACCAGUGGCGAAGGCGAUUCUCUGGACCGUAACUGACGCUGAGGCAUGAAAGCGUGGGUAGCAAACAGGAUUAGAUACCCUGGUAGUCCACGCCGUAAACGAUGAGUACUAGGUGUAGGGGGGUCCAACCCUCUGUGCCGCAGUUAACACAAUAAGUACUCCGCCUGGGAAGUACGAUCGCAAGAUUAAAACUCAAAGGAAUUGACGGGGGCCCGCACAAGCAGCGGAGCAUGUGGUUUAAUUCGAAGCAACGCGAAGAACCUUACCUGGACUUGACAUCCCCUGAAUAGUGCAGAGAUGCAUGAAGCCCUUCGGGGCAGGGAGACAGGUGGUGCAUGGUUGUCGUCAGCUCGUGUCGUGAGAUGUUAGGUUAAGUCCUGCAACGAGCGCAACCCCUAUUAUUAGUUGCUACCAUUAAGUUGAGCACUCUAGUGAGACUGCCCGGGUUAACCGGGAGGAAGGUGGGGAUGACGUC